rnacentral:rRNA from 1 species
UACGAAGGGGGCUAGCGUUGUUCGGAUUAACUGGGCGUAAAGGGUGCGUAGGCGGGUUUUUAAGUCAGGGGUGAAAUCCCGAGGCUCAACCUCGGAACUGCCUUUGAUACUGGGGAUCUCGAGUUCGGGAGAGGUGAGUGGAACUGCGAGUGUAGAGGUGAAAUUCGUAGAUAUUCGCAAGAACACCAGUGGCGAAGGCGGCUCACUGGCCCGAUACUGACGCUGAGGUGCGAAAGCGUGGGGAGCGAACGGG